UACGUAGGUGGCAAGCGUUGUCCGGAUUUACUGGGCGUAAAGAGCGCGCAGGCGGUCGGAUAAGUCGGAUGUGAAAGCCCCCGGCUCAACUGGGGAGGGUCAUUCGAUACUGUUCGACUCGAAGGCAGGAGAGGGAAGUGGAAUUCCCGGUGUAGUGGUGAAAUGCGUAGAUAUCGGGAGGAACACCAGUGGCGAAGGCGACUUCCUGGCCUGUUCUUGAUGCUGAGGCGCGAAAGCUAGGGGAGCAAACGGG
rnacentral:rRNA from 1 species